UACGUAGGGUGCAAGCGUUAUCCGGAUUCACUGGGUUUAAAGGGUGCGUAGGUGGGCUAGUAAGUCCGUGGUGAAAUCCCUGAGCUUAACUUGGGAACUGCCAUUGAUACUAUUAGUCUUGAAUAUCGUGGAGGUAAGCGGAAUAUGUCAUGUAGCGGUGAAAUGCUUAGAUAUGACAUAGAACACCAAUUGCGAAGGCAGCUUGCUACACGGUCAUUGACACUGAGGCACGAAAGCUAGGGGAGUGAAUGGG
rnacentral:rRNA from 1 species